CUUCAAUAAAUCUAAUACUAGGAAAAAUAUAGGCAUAUAGGAACAAAUGUUCAGAUCAACCUCAGUUUAGCUUUUAAAAAAUAGAAAAUCACUACAUAGUGAUGAUAUAAUGCUAAAAUGCUAGCCUAUUUAGUUGUGUUUAAAGCUGUGGCGGGUAAAUGAAGAUAAAAUUUUUCUGUGCAUUUGUUUUCAGUUCUUCAAUAACCACGUAUUUCUACUAUGGAUUAGACUAUGUCUGAAAAGAAUUGCAUAACUACUGGAAAACAGAUUAUCCUACUGUUAUUCAAAGUGAAUUUCUCUUUCAAUUUCUUACUGGUGUUAAUUCAGUCUACCUGAAGACCACAGUGCACCUCCAGAUGGCCUGAACACCUAACUGUCUUAUGCAUGCAGGUUCAUGGUAAUAAAGGGUGUCUGGAGGGGAGAAAUGUCAAUUCUCUGGAGCAAAUUUUUAACCACUAUUUUCUGUUCAUCACUGUACUCUGCUGACCCUCCUAGUCAGCAGAGUAUUUGAGAUAAGUGCUUCUGCACGCUAAGGAGUACAAGAUUUGAAAAGCCAAAUGUUUCUUUAUGACUUAUCCUUCCAUGUGUCUUUUGCUGUUACAAUAUUUAGAGACAGGAAUCUUCUGCAGGUUUUUGACUUGCAUGUCUGUACAUAGGUGAGGAUGACUCAAAGGCUCAGCUCAUCUUGGACUGCAGGCUGCAUUGCCUAUGGGUGGCUCAGAGCACGAAUUCCAUGGAAAAAGGCAAAGGCAGUAUGGUGGUUUUCUGUUCUAACCACUGAGGUUAUGUAGUGUCACUUUCUUCACAUUCCACUGGACUCCUGACAAGUCUGUCAUUAAGGACAGUUCCAGAUUCGAGUGGUAGGGAAUUAGAUCCCAGUCAUCUUCAAAACCUCCACACAGCCUUCCACACUCAAAACCACGAAAUAGAUUGGACUCAACCCUCCACAUUGCCCUAAUUAGUUCCUGUUGAGUCCCCCUUUGAAAUGGCUCCUGGUUUCCUUCCUCUGCCCUUUGCCACCACCCUACUUUAGUCUCACAUACUUUCUCAUCUGAACUUUUGCAAUGCUCUCCCUGCCUCUGGGCACUCUGACCUUUCCCUCUCUUCAGAAUUAUUUUCCUAGGUCCCAUUAUCACCACCCUGCUGAAAUAGUCAAAGAAUCUCCUCUCCAGACAGAAUUCUAAAGUCAGUCUGACAUUCAAGCAAUCCACCAUUUAACUCCUACCUCGUGUUUCAGGCUUAUCUUCUACAUUUCUCUGUGCACUUCAGUCUCAGACCAUAUACUCACCACUCACCACUUUUCCUGAACUUCCCCCAAAUUAUAUCCCCUCUGGCCUUUUCUCAGGCUGCUGCUAUCUCUGCUUGGAAUGUCUUAUGUGCCCGCUCAUCCUUCCAUGCCCAUUUUAAAUCUUCUUCAAGAAACCUUCCUUGGAGUCAAUCUCUUCUACCCUUUCAACACAUUUUACUUUUAGUAUUGCUGUCAACAUAUUCCAUUUACAGUCAUUCAAUCCACAUCCCACUUAUUACAAAAUAUUGAAGGUGGAUCUUUCCUUAUUUAUAGUACCUGCUACCUAAUGAAUGAUGUGUUAACCUUUGUUUUCCAACACUGUUUUGCAAUAUAUCGUAGUAUCAAGCUUAGUGUUGUUUAGUUGUCUGUAUAACUGUCUUAUUCCUAGUCUGUGAAAACAGAAGUUCCCAGUAUCUCUAAAAGCCCAUUUAGAAAUUGUUUUCAAGGAUGUAUUGUAUUAUCCCUGCCACAAGUAUGAAUUAUGUAUUUGAAAUCUCACAUUUUAAAAUUUCAUCUUUCUUCCCAAAGAAACACAUAACAAUCCAAUUUCAUAAUAAACCUAAAUUAGCACAUUUAAGUUAGUGACGCUUAGACAUUUGUAAAUGGCUUGACUAAAUUCCCUUGUAUUGUUACCUGAAAUCAAGUCAUAAGUUGUACAACAUAAAACCUCACUGAUAUGGUUAGGGUUUGUGUCCCCACCCAAAUCUCACCUGGAAUUGUAAUCCCCCAAAUCCCCAGGUGUCAAGGGAGAGACCAGGUGGAGGUAAUUGAGUCAUGAGGGUAAACCAUCCCCGUGCUGUUCUCGUGGUAGUGAGUGAGUUCUCACAGGAUCUGAUAAUUUUAUAAGGUGCUCUUCCCUUCUUUGCUCAGCACUUCUCCUUCCUGCUGCCUUGUGAAGAAGGUGCCUUGCUUCCCUUUUGCCUUCUGCCAUGAUUGUAAGUUUCCUGAGGCCUCCCAGCCAUGCUGAACUAUGAGUCAAUUAAACCUCUUUCCUUUAUAAAUUAUUCAGUCUCGGGCAGUUCUUUAUAGCAGUAUGAAAACAGAAUAAUGCACUCACAGACCUGUUUCUACAAGUUGCUUUUUUUUUUUUUUUUUUUUUUUUUGAGGCAGAGUUUCACUCUUGUUGCCCAGGCUGGAGUGCAAUGGUGCGAUCCUGGCUCACCACAACCUCUGCCUCCUGGGUUCAAGCCAUUCUCU
rnacentral:lncRNA from 1 species